ensembl:lncRNA
CUGCAAUAAGCCUUUCUCUGCUCCAAACUCUGACUUUCAGUUUGUUUGGCCUUACUGUGCUUCAGGGGCAUGAACUUGUGCUAAUAGCAUUGCUGUCCCAUUCAGCUUGUGUAUCUUUCUGAAAGGCAGAGGUUGGAGCCCUGACAUGGCAUGGUCCACACUCUCUUACACGUGGGAUUCCAGCUGAGAAAACAGUUCCACUAGCAAGAUGUCCUACGAGAAAAGGGGAUCCUGGUGAGGGAAAUAGAAGUUUUGAGUGUCAGCAACCUGGAGUUCAAAGCCAGAUCUACAGCCUCUGAAUCCUUCUUGCUGGCAUCCAUCUU